AGUGAACGCUGGCGGUAGGCCUAACACAUGCAAGUCGAACGGCAGCACAGUAAGAGCUUGCUCUUACGGGUGGCGAGUGGCGGACGGGUGAGGAAUACAUCGGAAUCUACUUUUUCGUGGGGGAUAACGUAGGGAAACUUACGCUAAUACCGCAUACGACCUACGGGUGAAAGCAGGGGAUCUUCGGACCUUGCGCGAUUGAAUGAGCCGAUGUCGGAUUAGCUAGUUGGCGGGGUAAAGGCCCACCAAGGCGACGAUCCGUAGCUGGUCUGAGAGGAUGAUCGGCCACACUGGAACUGGGACACGGUCCAGACUCCUACGGGAGGCAGCAGUGGGGAAUAUUGGACAGUGGGCGCAAGCCUGAUCCAGCCAUACCGCGUGGGUGAAGAAGGCCUUCGGGUUGUGAAGCCCUUUUGUUGGGAAAGAAAAGCAGCAGGUUAAUACCCCGCUGUUCUGACGGUACCCAAAGAAUAAGCACCGGCUAACUUCGUG
rnacentral:rRNA from 1 species